CCCUAGGUUCCCAACACAGUUUGGGAACUUCUGGUGUAAAGUGUGGUGGAUCUGCUUGCAGGCGAGCAGAGCGGGCGAGGCGCAGCGAAGGCAGCUGGGCAGUCGAGGCAGUGGCGCUGGAGUGGCGCGCAGGAGGUGUCGCGGGCGUGGGGCGUGCGGCCCGCGGCGCCGCCUCCGCCGCUCCCAGCGCCGGGCGCGCGCCGCCGCCCGGCCCAGUCCGCGCCGAGCCGCGCUGCCGCUAGCACGCGUCCGCACUCGCGUCCACCGCACCGCGCACCGUAUACUUCUUCACCAUCAGCGCUGUCUUCGAUCGGAGUGGCGGUUCGCAUCUUACCGGGCAGCAUUAGAGUCUAACCGCUAUUUCUAAUACUGUCAGGUAAAGAUGUCGUCCGCGCUCCACGUUCUACGGUCGGCGUGAGGAAUUCUACGGAACCGGUCCGACGACGACGGUUAUAUUUACCGGGUUCGGUUGACUGGAAGCUCGCCGCAGCCGGGUCGGCGCGGACGCCGCUCAGCCGCGUGCGCACGUUGUCUUCGGCGCAUCACCUUUGGAUCGUACGGUAAUCUACAGAAAACGUGGAAGGUCGUCGUCGGCAGUGGUGUGCCGCGCGCCAUUACGUCACACGUGUCGCUAUGUAUGUCUGCUCGCUAGUGUCGGCACCCGCACUCGGAUGUACGAUUGGAUUCUUCGCCGCCGUUGCUGAUCUAGGUACAGUUCGUAUCUGCAGGGGCGAGGAGGAGUCGAGGUCUGGCACUGCCGCGGCGGGAAGCCACUUCAGGGAACAGCGAGCUUUCCAAGAAGUGCGCUUGUGAUUGUCAUGCCAGUAUCGAGCUCAACUACGCUCGUCACUAGGUGUAUGUACACUAUACGUACCUAUUAUAUAACAUUCAUUCUAUCACAUUGCACGUCAAAGGCUUACAUUCGAUAAAGCUUAAGAUAAAACUACUCUGCGCCUGGUCUGUCACGAACUUGCUUAAUAUUUUGUAUAAUUAUACGUAAAAAGAAAGUUAAUCUUGAUACAUGUUUAAUAUAUAAUUAAAAGCGUGCGGUGUCCGCGCUCGCUGGAGGCUCGCGUCUGCGGGCGCGAGCUCGGCCACAGCUCUGUUCAGCAGCCGGAUUACGGAGUACAUACUCAUAGUGUACUUAUACAUGUGUUGACGAGUAAUCAUUACCUAACAGAAAACCUAACACAAUGAUUCGAUAUUUUAAAAGGUCCCUGGUAUUGUUUUACAUUUUGUACGUUUGGGCUGUCGCUAAACACGAAUUUGCAUAUAUUACGUAUGUAUAGAACUGGAAUUUUAGCUGCUAAUUAACAUUCAAAUAACUGCUGGAAUCAAUAGCUAUCAAACUGGUUUUGUGUUACAUUACAGCUCAAUAGAUUCAUUUUAGAGCCUUUGAAUAGGGGAAUCCGAUUAUUAUAAAAUAGUAUGAGCGAAAGUAUAGUUGUGGUAGAAUGAAACCGCACAGUGCUUUGAGACCUGUGCGGCGUGCCUGCGGGCUGCGGGCUGCGGGCUGCGGGCUGCGGGCGCGCCGCACAGCGUCGCGCGGCUCCUCUCUCAUGACUACAAGGCUUAUCUUAUUAUAUUCAAUGCGACAACAAUUCAUUCUCCAAAAACUUUUUACAAAAAAAUCAAACCCCCCACUCCCAAACCUAGCUAAACUACCCAAACCGACUUUUUUUGUAAUUAUUGUAAUAUUUUUUUGUAAAAAGUUUUUUUUAUUUUUGGCUUUUCAGUGACAAGCAUAGUCGUCACUAUCCGCAUUUGGGGAAAGGUCUCAUCAAUACGAAUAAUAUAAGUCCAAACACGAGGUAGUUUACAUACUUAGUUGUCGAGUUCCCUCGACCUUCUCUCGUCUCCAUCAUCAGGUCAGCUCCAAACCUUCACUGUUGCACAAUGUUAUCAGACGUACACCUCACCUACAAUCUUCGAAAGUUGCUCUCGAUUUCUCAGGGUUUCCAAUAUCAGAUCCUGACCUGGUGAUUAUGGGACCACCUGGAAGGUACACCCUAUCAAACAAAAAAAUAAUUUUGCAAAUCGGUCUACGUGCUUUCGAGAAAUCGGUGAACAUACAUAAAAAAAGAUCCCGACGAAUUGAGAACCUCCUUCUUUUUGGGAAGUCGGUAAAAAAAUAAUUCAUGCUUAAUAAUAAUCGCAGCCUCGCGAUGAGAAGCAGAAACUUAAGCUAUUAUUAUGUAAAUGGUUGGUUUUUUUACAACAUUAUUAACCUUAUUUCUGGGCAUUUCCGCUCACUGUAUCUGCUCGUAUUAUUAGUAUAAUACAUGAAAUAUUGUAUAGAAUGCUUAGCGGAAUAAGCUGUUGUGGUCGGUGCAGUGAGCACAGCUGAGCUGGGCGCAGUGGGCGCAGUGGGCGCACUCGGGACGCGCGGUGUGCCGUAUUAAUAGACAACAUUGUUGUUGUUGUGUGCGGCGCGUGUUUGUUGUCGCGUGUCGCUGCGUGCCGCCGCCGCACCGCCGCACCGUCGCUAUAAAUACCGCGCUCUGUCGCCGACACCAACAAAUACUACACAUAUUAUUCCCGUCUCAACAUUCUUACACUUUCUUAAAUAUCUCCGCGUGACUCAAUUACAAAAGGACAGCUUGCGCAGAAAUGAAACUUGUUCAAGUGUAGGUAAACAGACACAAGACCGUGGAUAUCGCGGCGUCAUCAGCCCGACUGUGCACCGCGUCAGCCUGCAGGCGUCCUCCGCUGCAGUGGCCGCGUCCGCACUGCGCCGGUACCCGGUCACAAUAUAAAGAUGUGCGAGUAUGUGCUGCCCGACCGGUAUUCCUCAUAUCGUUAUUUCUUAAAAAAUACAUUCAAAAGUGAUGAACACAAAGCGAGUUGCUGGUUACUGUUAUGUGAGUGCGGAGUACAGCGCGCCAGUGUGAUCACUACGGCAGCGAGUGCGCGAGCGCCGACACCAGCCCGACGAGGCAACGCGUUAGUUUUUCCUCGGCAUGGAAAAAGCGCAGCUUCGUGUAGACUGGCCGCUAAUUAUUCGUUUUUUUCUCCAGUAAGCAGUAUAUUAAGUAAGAUUAAAAUAUUAAUGGUUAGUUAGUCGAGUAUAUAAAACGUGGUUUUAAAAAUACAGUUUGCGGGUAACGGUGAGUCGCGCACACGAGAGGAGUCAUAACGGGUGGCGGAGGCUUGCUGCGCGUGGGCCGCGGGCGAGGCCGGGGGGUGCGCGGGGCGAGGCGAGGCGAAGGGGGGGGCGAGGCGCUCCGCAAAGGUCAGGCGCCGUGCACCUGCGGCGCAUUGCUGGACCAUUUAUCACAAUCGCCGCUACCACACGUUACCUAUAAAUAUAUGAGUUAUUGGAGGCUCACCGCUGCGCACACGCAGCCUGCAAGCUGCACGGGAGACAGUAGGCAGAGCCGCCUGUACGACACAACUCAGAAUCUAAACGGUUUUAACUUAGAGUUUGCCUUGAAUGUUUGAUUUCUAAAUUAUACCUUUCAGUAGGCUUUAUAAUCGUAUCCGUUAAAAGUGUAUAUUUUUUAUAUCAACAAUUUCAUAAAAUAUUUUAAAAACCUCAUUUCAAAACAGUUUUCAUGGGAGAGAGUCAACAUACAUAGUAUGGGCCUCUAAAACUAAGAAGUUAAACAAAACACGAAACACAAAAGACGAUGUGUGUGUAUCGCUCCACUCUGUCCUCACUGUAGAUAUCUCAGCUGGUAGUCCGGGAGUACUCCGGGAGUACUCCGGGAGCACGGCUACAUUGCACCCGCUGCUGCUGCGCGAUGCCACUUACAGGAGAACGUUAUCUAAUGAGGCCACCACUGAAAUCCGUGUCAGUUUCAGGCACCGUAUUGAGCAGGGCUACAAGAGCACUUCGUUCGUGAUGACGUGGGUAUUGUCUCGUUGUCACCGCGUCGCCCACUUGACGACAGUUCAGUUUAACUGAACCAUCACCAUCAUAGUUUUUAGGGUUCCGUACCAAAGGGAUAAAACGGGACCCUAUUGUUUUCGCUCCUCUGUCCGUCCAUCCGACCGUCCGUCCGUCUGUCACCAGGCUGUAUCUCUUGAGCCGUGAUAGUUAGAGAGCUGAAAUUUUCACAGUUGGUGUAUUUUUGUUGCCGCUAUAACAACAAAUACUGAAAACUAGAAUUAAUUAAUAUUUUGGGGGGCUCCCAUACAACAGACGUGAUUUUUUAGUCCAUUUUAUAAAUAAUGGUUAGGAACCCUUCGUGCGCGAGUCCGACUCGCACUUUGCCGGUUUUUUUAAUCACUCAGAAAAAGGAGCCCUUUGACUGCGGUUAGGUAUCCCAUUUUUUGGUACGAGUUUAUUUACUAAAUUAGGCCAUUUUUUUGUUGCUGAGGUUUUUACUUUAAUCGGAAAACGAGAUGAUAUUUUUUUAUGACAUUUUAAAUCAAUGUAUGUUUAAUAAUUUAAAAUUUAUUCUUUCCUUAUACGUUAAUAGUGCCACGAUUUAUUCCAAAAUAUGUAUAAAUGUAAUUAUGUAGGUAUAUAUCGUUAUUAAAAUGAAAUAAUAGGAAGAUGGAAAUGUCUUUGGUGUGGGACGCGCCUGCGAACCUGAACCUGAAGAUCGACCCUGCGUCGAUACCCUUGCAACUUCCCAGUACGGCGAGCAGCCGCGGAAAACCUCAAACGGCGCUAAUAUGAAAACCUCACCGGCAGUUACAUAUUUGAGCUGUUUGGUAUUGAAACCACCACGGAGCACAAGUGGCACAAGUGGCACAGACUCAAGAAAGUGCUCAGUGGAGUUACUCCUGAACAGCCUUGUGGGCAUGAUGCCCGCUGACUGCGAUGCGGCUCAAUUUAAUAAGAGUAAUAUUUCUAUCUUUUAUUUAUUAGUAAACAUUAACCUACAUUGUUUAUUGUAGUCUGACACCGGGGCUUGCUAGCUAAUUAAAUCCGCAGCUCCUCCUCCUCCGUGGGAACCUCUGUACCAACCCGGAAAAAAGUUGCCUAUAGCCUUUUUCGAUAAAUGGGCUAUCUAACACUAAAAAAAUUUUUCAAAUCGGACCAGUACUUCCUGUGAUUAGCGCGUUCAAACAAAAAAACUUCAGCUUUAUAAUAUUAGGUAUAGAUUAGUGGGAAGUAUUCAUGUUACAAAUAUGGAGUAAGCCCAAACAUGAUUCAGUUAAUAUAUGCCUUCCCGGCGUUCCCUCAACUCUCUCUCGUCUCCAUGAUCAGGUCCUCCGAUUUCUUGACGUUGCUAUCAUCAGAUCCUGGCCUGACGACUAUGGACCAUCUGGAUAGUAUACCCUGUCAAACAAAAAAAAAUACUUUGCAAAUCGAUCCAGGCGUCUUUGAGUCUUCGCCGAUGAACAUAAAAAAAGAUUCCGACUAAUUGAGAACCUCCUCCUUUUUGUCAGUUAAAAGUAGAGUGAAUAAAAUUGAAUAUUAUACCUACUUCGCCAAUAAAGUUAAAAAAUUUAAAAGUUAGAAAUUAAUAUAAAGAAUGUAAAAUCCGCCUGCAUGAAGAAUAACGAACUGAAAAGGCAGAAAUAAGCUAAACCAUCGCAGUUGGAAAACUUUCUAUGGAACGCUUGCUUAUCCAGCGAGGAGGCCGUGGAACUGUCAUUGGUCAGCUGGUUUCUGCUUUUUCAGUUCAUUGUUUUUUCAUGCAGGCUGGUUUUUUGUUUCAAAUAAUAUUUUUUGUAGAGUUUAGAUGUGAUAGGUAACGAUCACUAUAUUCAAAACCAGUACCUACGCACUCUGUGUAGUAUUCUUUACAAAUGGAAACGAUUAAUUUAUUCCACUUGAGCUUAUAAAUUGUAACGUUCUGUAUAUAAGGGUCAUUGUUUGCUUUUAUUGUUACAAUAAGGUCGUGCGUGUUUGCAGCAGCCCCGGCAGUGGCGGCCGCUGCAGCCGAGCGACUCGCCGAGCCGCAGGAGGAGGCUCGCGCUGGACCCCGGCACUGUCCAGCGCGAGCCUCACUUUAUUCUAUAUUGCUGGAAUACUACAAACGCGAACCUUGACCAAGUGGGAUGAAAAUAACAAACAUCUGUGAACAAAACGCAAUAAGUAGGUGGCUAUUAAAUAAGGACGUUUGGAAUUUAUAAAAAUCAGCAUAAGUCGUUGAAUGUGUGCGUGAGAGGCGCGAGGUGCGGGGUGCGGGGUGCGGGGCGGGCACACAUGACAACAGUGCACACGGGCUCGUGUCCAUUUGGUGGAUGGGCGGUCGGCGACCCCGGCGGCCGUGGGCGCGCGAUAAACUUUAUAUAUUCAUGGUGCGGCGUAUCGCUGCCCGGCUGGUUAUGUCCGGUACCGUUACCUUUCUUGCUUUCAGAUCUCGUUCGGUGUUUAAUUCUUGUUUUAAAACUGAGGCGACAGUGAGCCGGCGCGCUAAUGAACGCGCCGCAUUACCAUGCGCCGGCGCAGCUGACGGCCACUGCCCCGCCGCGCCGCCUCGGCACCUGCUGCCGCGCUCGCCGCUGCGUGCUCGCCGCGUGCUCGCCGCGUGCUCGAUGCUCGCAGAAAUUCUAACUAAAACCUAUAACAUAUACCUACCUAGGUAACGAUAGUCAUUUGUUUGUCGGCUCCUAACUUACACGCUGCACAUCUAUUGUGCUUUAGUUCAUCCGACUGCACCCCCGACACCCGAAUGUCACUCAGACUGACAACUAACAUCUCACAUUCUGGUACAUUUUUAUUCAUAUUCUGAAAACCAAUACUACACUUGGAAAUAAUUAUACUUAAAUCGCUACUACAGACAGAAAUUAAAAACAAUUUACAACCAAGCACUUAGGUACUUAGCAUUUAGGAAUCGCGUUGCUCUAUGUAGCCGCAUACUGAAUACGUACCUACUCUCUUUACAAUAUUAUGGUAUACAACAACACAUUUUGCAAUAUUUAUUAAUUUGAGGCCCUUUUUCAUCGACAACAUACACGUCAGUUUUUCUAAAAAAAAGAGUAAAUAGUUAUUUUAAGAAUCCCGACGUUUAUAUAGUCGGUGAACAACGUGGGCCUUAAGCUUUGGUUUCCUAGGAAAGCGGUGCCGUCAUAUAGCGGCCGUAAUACAGCGGUGAAUGACGUCACCAGAACGUUGUCUAUGUAAAGAAAAUGGGGCGGUUUCCUAGAGAGCGGUAACUGACACCGUAACUUCAAAAAGCGGUGCCGCCAUUUGCAUGACGGCCGUCUUGACGGUGUCAGAUAGUUUGGUGAACGUUUUAUUGAAGCGGUGAAGCCUUUUUAAUACGUAUUUGUGUUUUUUUUUUUCGGAACAACGUCAAAAAUUAGUUACAACUCUUGGAGCAGCAAGGACGACGAAAUUUUAAUAGAUUUCGUUCGUAACCACGAAGCAAUAUAUAAUAUAAAAAGUAAAGAUUAUAGAAAAAGUCAACUAAAACAGAAAUUGGUGUCGUGAAAUUUGAGAAAUAUUAAGUUUUAUUUAAAUAAAAGGUUAGUAAGUAUGAUACAACUAACAAAAAGUUUAUGACGGUGUGUUAAAACGGCCGUGGAACUUUCCACAUAUCAUCACCGUAAAGACGACCGUCUAUUUGCGUUCGUAAUAUGACGGCCGCUAUAUGACGGCACCGCUUUCCUAGGAAACCCAAGCUUUAGGAUAAGAAAGUUGUACCCGUAUGUACCUAUGUGCUUGUACACGUCGUCAUCAUCCUCCUGCUUUUAUGUGUAAACAAUAAAAUACCUAUGUAAGCUAUUUAUGUAGGUACUUGUACAUGUAAGUACACAUAAAUUAUGUUUUUACGAUUGCCUGUUUUUAGGGUUCCGUACCCAAAGGGUAAAACGGGACCCUAUUGUUUUUGCUCCUCUGUCCGUCCGUCCGUCCGUCUGUGACCAGGCUGUAUCUCAUGAUGUAGUUAGAGAGUUGAAAUUUUCACUGAAGAUGUAUUUCUGUUGCCGCUAUAACAACAAAUACUGAAAACUAGAAAUGUCAGAACGAGCUACACAGGUGUUGUGUGCCUGUGUGUGAUGACGACGUGUAAAUGUUUCUAGUUGCAGUGAUGUGGGGAGCUUUGUCAAGCAUCAGAAGCACUUUGUGAUCGCUAAUGAGUGUUAGAUAAGUUAGUGAGUAGCACUGCUCUCGGCUUUACUUAAGUAAGCACAUUCAUUGAUAACUCGUGUUAGACGUGAGCUAGUUAAUAAUACCGGCAAUAGGUAUCGAGUGUGUGACGAGCCGUGCUCGCGACUGUCGCCACUGUGGCGCGGACAUACGGCUCAUUGUGCCAUCACAAACAGCUGCCAACACUACGUAAUAGAUAAAUUGUUAUUCGUGUAUAAGAAUGUUAAAUCAAGGAAACGUGGCUGUUUUGUAAGUGAAAUAGUUGAUAUUGUGUAGAUUGUGUGAACAGUAGAAUCGCUUGAGCGGCGGCAGCAACUCGCGGAGGUAUAUCGUGUCACUAUGCUGAUUGUGCCGAGUCAUCACACACAUACAUAGGGACACACAUGUGUAUACGUGCACUACAUUGCUGCGAAAACGAAAGUGUUACUCAUAAAUAGGGCUGCCAUCACGAAUUUCGCCAAACCCGGACAAACAUUUAAAAACCCGGACAUUUGGCGUAAAUCGCAUUUUUCCCCCGAACCUAAUUUGUAAUCCCUUUACUAUUAACAUAUACUUAAAUUCAAUGAGGUGCUUCCUCACAUAAAAAGUGUCCGGGUUUUCCCCGGACACUUCUUGAAACCCCGCCCGGACGGCCCCCGGACGGCCUCCAAACGAGGACAAAUCCGGGGAAACCCGGACGGAUGGCAGCCCUACUCAUAAAUUACCUCAUUUAUUAAAAUUGUAAGAAAAGUGUUUAGCGUAAGAGUAUAGAGUGGCGCGUCACCUCAUUGAUGCCCAGCUACGUGCGUCCGAUUCAGAUUGUCACUGUAUCAAUGACAUAUCGCUGGUAAGGCACUCUAGGCCAGACCCUCGUGUUUGCCAGUUGUCAACUGUAGCAUUAGUUCUUGGCAUAGAUAAUUGUGAAAUAAACUUUGGUUAAACUACAGUAGACAGACUAUGUAUAUAGGAACAGUAUUAUGAUGGCUGAUAAGUUUGUUAUGUUGGAAGAUGACCACUGUGGAUAUUUUAUUUGUGUAAAUAAAUAAAAUAAAUGGUGAUAUAAA